CAGCAGCCGCGGGAAUACGUAGGUGGCGAGCGUUGUCCGGAAUUAUUGGGCGUAAAGGGAGCGCAGGCGGACAUAUAAGUCCAUCUUAAAAGUGCGGGGCUCAACCCCGUGAGGGGAUGGAAACUGUAUGCCUUGAGUGCAGGAGAGGAAAGCGGAAUUCCCAGUGUAGCGGUGAAAUGCGUAGAUAUUGGGAGGAACACCAGUGGCGAAGGCGGCUUUCUGGACUGUAACUGACGCUGAGGCUCGAAAGCCAGGGGAGCGAACGGGAUUAGAUACCCCUGUAGUCCCUGUCUCUUAUACA
rnacentral:rRNA from 1 species